rnacentral:lncRNA from 1 species
AUGUCUGCAGGCAGGUACAGGACUCCCAUGGGCUUAACAGAAUGUGAGAGCACUCUCUGCUACAGAAAAUCCCGGUGGCUGUGUCAUCUCCUGGGAAGUGGGAGCUGUGGCCAGACUGCAUCAGGGACGGUCACCAGUACGUCUUGCCCCAGUAUGCUUCGUAUGGGCGCAGUCUGGAAGAGAGCUUGUGGGCCAGCAGGAAGGCAGAGAAUGCUAACGGAGAGUUGAAAAGACACGAGCCAGUGAUUUCUUUGUUGCUGCUGUACCAGUACAUUUUAAACACUCUUCUGUACCAAGCAACACCCCCCUGCACCCCAAACCCCAGCAAAAACAAAGACAGCCUCUUUUUUUAUUUCUUCCAAAGAAGGAAUCUGCUCAGUUCAGUUAAGUACAUUGACCUUUGGUUACAUAUAGUAACGCUGUAAACAGUGGGCCCAGCUCACAGACAAAUAACGUGAACUCACUCACUUUAAGAGAGUUAAGUUCAAGAGAAAGUUGUUUUCAAAAAAAAAAAAAAAAAAAAUCUAUGUUGCCUAUCAUUCUGCAGCAUGAAACACAGUAAUUGCUCAGUUUUGGACGUUUUAAACUAGAAUAUUAGCUUUCAAAUUGAAUCAGGACGGGUCAUCUGCUUUCCUAACAAGUGCGGAUGAGUUACAUUUUCAAAGGUAUCAAAAUGUACUGUCAUACUGGUUUGCAUCAGUCAAUAGCCCCAUGUCCUCGGUGACUUUUUAAGUAAGUAAACGUUAAUUACACAGGUAUUGCUAUGAACCAAGCCCAUUGUUUAAAGGAAGCACAAUUCUUGCCAAGUUAAAAGUCUUUACAUAAGAACGUGGUUUUGUAAUGGAUUUGAAGAGCUGCUGUGUGAGUUAUUAAAAUUGUGUCUUCCUGCUUGCACUGUGUACCAAUGCAGAAAAUGGACAAACAUGCAGUAAAAUGUAGCAUCAUUUAGAAAAUAAUAUGUAAAAAAAAUUCAGUAUCUUAUAUUAAAGCAUUUACACUGCAUAGGCAUUCAUAUAAGGAUAUAG